AUGGGUAGGCUACGGAAAGUGUCUCAUCAGGAUGUUCCAUUAGUAUCAUCUUUAGAGAGUGCAGAUUCACUGGAUGAAGCUUUUGUGCCUAAUGAUUUUGCAGAAGAUGGUUCUCAUACUGUGUCUCCGGAUCUAUCUCGAGAUGAAGGAGAGUUCGACAAGGCUCUUUUGAAGUUCUAUCUCAAUCAAAAAGUAAAAUGCUUAAAGAGGAAACUAUCAUCUGCUUCUAGGAGGAAUGUGAGGCAGAAACGAUCUACUGAUUUCCCCACUUGUGCCACUUUCACUAGAUAUUCUGGGAAGUUGUUCUCUGGUGUUGUUGCUGGAAUGUGUCCUAGGUAUCAGAAUGUCAUCCAGACAUACGGCAUGGGCUGUCUCUUAAACUUUGUUAGGACCGAGGUUCCCCUUAGGCUAGUGAAGUGGCUUGCUAGUAGGUUUGAUGUCCCUUCAUCUGAAUUCCAGUUCGAAAGGAAAUUUAUCCCAAUGACCAAGUAUGAUAUCCAUGAUAUCCUUGACCUCCCAGUAGAUGGUGAGCCACUUGUGUCUGAUCCUGAGUCUGGACGUGAUUUUAUCCUGUCUCACUUCAAUGUUUCUAGUAUUCCUCCUGUCUAUUUCUUCGCCAGCAAGCUUAAAUCCACCGAAGUCGAGUUGUCUGAUGAAGACAUUUCCAUUUGCUUCAUGAUUGUUGCGUUGUCCUCAUUCCUUUGUCCCAACUCUAGCCUCAGUCCUAGCCCGAAGUACCUGCAUAUUUUCAGGGAUUGUUCUUCUGUGUGCAACUAUGAUCUGUCCGGAUAUGUUUAUGAGUGGUUGUUGAGCAGCAUCAAAAAGUUCAAGAAUUCCACUAAAGUUGCUUCUAAAAGAUCAGUGACGUCUGGUGGUUGUCACUAUGCUUUUGCUGUUUGUUACCUUGACCAACUUAAUUUCGGUCUCCAUUCUGUCCCUGAUGUCAAGCCCCGGAUUCUAGCAUGGAGAGGUAACAAAGUUAAGCAAUUUUCAGAGCUUGACAGAAACAAUAGCCGCUCUUAUGGCAAGAGGCCUCUAAAGCGGUUGUUUGCUCCAGUUAAUCCGCAGUCUAUCGAGAAAUCUUCAGCAAGCAAAGAUGGUGAUGUUCCCCUUUGCAGUGACAUGCUUUUUGAAAUGAAUGUGCAGAAAUCCUUCGGUGCUCGUUUUGGGUUUGAGGCUGCUCAAGUAGUCAUAAACCUUGUUCAAUCUAGGAACAAAGACAAGCCCAAGCUAUUUGUACAAUGGUCACAGUCCCUUGUAAUUGACGUUCUAGAAUGCUUAUCACUCUCUACUCUAAAUGCCAAAUCUGUCCCGACACCUAAAGUUUAUUCAAGUGAGGGUCAUUCUUUCAACAAGUUCUCUUUUGGCGCCAAGUCUGUCUCUAUUCAAUCUUUCAUUGAUGAGAGGAAGUGUGAGACUGUUGUUGAGAAAUCAUCUCCUGAAGUCCAGCAGCAAAUCCCCAAUUUGAAUGAAGCUUCUCCUUUUGUUUCUGGUGUUGUUAGUGUUGGGGGUUUUCACAACCCAGUAGUUUUAUCUAGUUCAUCUCCAGCUCCUAAAGUGUGUGAUGAGGGCGUGGUAAAUGAGGCAAAUGUUGAAGCUGCAAUUCCAGUGGCGGAUUUAUCUUCUAUAAAAAGUCCUUCUCAUUCUAUAGGUAUAUCCCCUUCAACGACGCGGUGUGCAAUUCCUGUUGUUGGUUCUACUUUGGAGCCCUCAGCUGGUCUUAUUAAGAAAUGCGAACCCAAGGCCGAUGAUAAUGGUUUUCAAAGACCCACUUUUGCUCAGUUAAAUCGCACUCUUGGUGUUCAAUCUAAUGGCGAUGUUACCAAUGGUGAGCCCAAUGUUAAAGAGGUCGAUAAUUCUUUUGGAGAACCGUCCCCUCUGGUUCCUAUUCGCUUGUCGCAGCGUUUCCAUAAUGCGGUUGCAAGUUGUUUGCGGUCCCUGAUGACGAGGGGGUUUGUUUGUCCAGGUCGAACGGGCAAGAUGUUUACCCGACCCGUUUAG
rnacentral:rRNA from 1 species